UACGAAGGGGGCUAGCGUUGCUCGGAAUCACUGGGCGUAAAGCGCACGUAGGCGGCUCCUUAAGUCAGGGGUGAAAUCCUGGAGCUCAACUCCAGAACUGCCUUUGAUACUGAGGAGCUUGAGUCCGGGAGAGGUGAGUGGAACUCCGAGUGUAGAGGUGAAAUUCGUAGAUAUUCGGAAGAACACCAGUGGCGAAGGCGGCUCACUGGCCCGGUACUGACGCUGAGGUGCGAAAGCGUGGGGAGCAAACAGG
rnacentral:rRNA from 1 species